CUCCUUAUCAGGGUGAAUAACCUACUAAUCGUUUAUCUUUAUUAACAUUGACAUCUGUUCCUGUACAUGCUGCCAUUUUCAAUUCUAUUCUAUCUCUAAUACUUUUUAAGAAAAAUGCAAAUAAAAAAAAUGCUUCAAGGGGAUAUAACUCUCAAAGGGGAUAAUGAAAUCCUACACAGCCUCAUCUGGUAAUACGUCAUAAUAAGAUCUAUCGAUGGUCAAUAUUUGGUCUUGAUGACUUCAAUAGAAACGAGGGGAGGGCAUGUCAAAAAAAUGUUGGAAGAAAAAAAAACAUUAGAACUAGUAUCUCAAUUGUUUGUAAAACAAUUGAAAGGUCUUUCCUGUAAAAGUGAUGUUUUCGUAAUGUACUUUGUACGACCUUUCGUUUGAUAUACGACAAGCAUACCUUCUGAAACUUUUCGCUUUUUACACUUAAUGACCUCAUCCGCCUACAUUUUUUGAGAUCGGAAGUAUGAUAUAUGUAUCAAAGGGUAGAUGAGCUUUCAUUUGAUAUGCGACAACGUCAUGUUCUAGAAAGUUUGAUUUUUGCACUUAAUAACCCCAUCCAACUAAUUUUUGGAGGUCGGGAAUUUGAUAUUUCAAAUGUACACAUCAUGACCUUUCAUUUGAUAUACAACAACCCUAUCGUAAAAAAAAAUUAUUUUUUGCACUCAAUGACCCCAUCCAACCAAUUUUUGGGGGACGUCAAUUUGAAAUUUGAAAUGUACGCUUUAUGUUCUUUCAUUUGAUAUGCGACAACCUUACCAUCUGAGAAAUUUGAAUGUUUGCACUAAAUGACCCCACCCGUCCCCCUGGGAUGAAAAGGGGUUUAAAAUUUUCAUUUUUAAGUAGAGUUUAUCAAGACCUUCAAUUUGAUAUAUCAGAUGACCCCAUU
rnacentral:lncRNA from 1 species